rnacentral:rRNA from 1 species
GACGAACGCUGGCGGCAUGCCUAACACAUGCAAGUCGAACGAAACCUCCGGGACUUGUGGCGCACGGGUGCGUAACGCGUGGGAAGCUUCCCUUAGGUUCGGAAUACCUCCCCGAAAGGGGUGCUAAUACCGGAUAAUGUCUUCGGACCAAAGAUUUAUCGCCUUUGGUUGGGCCCGCGUUGGAUUCGCUCGUUGGGAGGGUAAAAGCCUACCAAGGCGACGAUCCAUAACUGGUCAGAGAGGCAGAUCCGCCACACUGGGACUGAGACACGGCCCAGACUCCUACGCGAGGGAGCAGUGGGUAAUAGAGGACAACGGGCGAAAGCCUGAUCCAGCAAGGCCGCGUGAGUGAUGAAGUCCUUAGGGUUGUAAUGUUCUUUUACCCGGGAAGAUAAUGACAGUACCGGGAGAAUAAGCCCCGGCUAACUCCGUG